rnacentral:lncRNA from 10 species
UAAAUAAUAUUUUGUUUACUACCAAAAGAUACAAAAGAUAAAAUGCCUAAAAUAACCUAAAAAUGAAAAAAAAACUCAAAUACAGAGAUGGGAGAGAAAAAAUAACAGAUGUUUUUAUCCUCAGUUCUGAGGUCUUCAGAGUGAGACCAGGACUUACACCACCUGCUUUCCUGGUUCUCCAGCUCUCAAACAGAAAACUGUAAGACUUUCUUGGUCUCCAUAAUUGCUUGAGCCAAUUUCCACAAUAAAUAUCUUCAUAUAUUUUGAGUUCUAUUGGUUCUAUUUCUCUGGAGAACCCUGACUAGCAUAGACUUUUGUACUAAGAGUAGUUCUAGAGGAACAUAAUUUUAUGAAUAACUGUUGUGAAUUUGUUCUGGGGUUUAUGGAAUUGGAUUACUAAUCUGAUCAGGUUUUUAAAUUCUAU